CAGGUAUCGUGAGGGAAGUAUGGGGUAGUACGAGAGGAACUCCCAUGCCGUGCCUCUGGUUUCUGGAGUUUGUCGAACGGCAAGUGCUCCGACGCUAUCGCACGGUGGUUCUCGGCUGAACGCCUCUAAAGCCAGAAGCCAGUCCCAAGACCAGAUGCCCACUCAACAACAAAAAGUAUGUAUUUUGUGUUGCUUGUUUUGCUGAGUGUGUCAUAUAUAUAUAUAUAUAUAUAUAUAUAUCUAUCUAUAUAUAUGUAUAUGUAUGCAGCUGUCUUUUUUGGGAAGAGUAGAGAAGGAAGAGGUAAUACUUCACCGGCGCGGCGGGGGGAGGAGCGGCACGCAUGGGUUUUCCUGUGUGUGUGUGUGUCUGCGUAAUGUAUAGAUGUUUAU
rnacentral:ncRNA from 1 species